GUAGGUGGCAAGCGUUAUCCGGAAUUAUUGGGCGUAAAGCGCGCGCAGGCGGUUUCUUAAGUCUGAUGUGAAAGCCCACGGCUCAACCGUGGAGGGUCAUUGGAAACUGGGGAACUUGAGUGCAGAAGAGAAAAGCGGAAUUCCACGUGUAGCGGUGAAAUGCGUAGAGAUGUGGAGGAACACCAGUGGCGAAGGCGGCUUUUUGGUCUGUAACUGACGCUGAGGCGCGAAAGCGUGGGGAGCAAACAGGGAUUAGAUACCCUGGUAGCCCACGCCGUAAACGAUGAGUGCUAAGUGUUAGAGGGUUUUCCGCCCCUUUAGUGCUGCAGCUAACGCAUUAAGCACUCCGCCUGGGAGUACGGUCGCAAGACUG
rnacentral:rRNA from 1 species